rnacentral:rRNA from 1 species
AUUGAACGCUGGCGGCAUGCCUUACACAUGCAAGUCGAACGGUAACGCGGGGCAACCUGGCGACGAGUGGCGAACGGGUGAGUAAUGUAUCGGAGCGUGCCCAGUUGUGGGGGAUAACUGCUCGAAAGAGCAGCUAAUACCGCAUACGACCUGAGGGUGAAAGCGGGGGAUCGCAAGACCUCGCGCAAUUGGAGCGGCCGAUAUCAGAUUAGGUAGUUGGUGGGGUAAAGGCCCACAAGCCAACGAUCUGUAGCUGGUCUGAGAGGACGACCAGCCACACUGGGACUGAGACACGGCCCAGACUCCUACGGGAGGCAGCAGUGGGGAAUUUUGGACAAUGGACGCAAGUCUGAUUCAGCCAUGCCGCGUGCGGGAAGAAGGCCUUCGGGUUGUAAACCGCUUUUGUCAGGGAAGAAACGCUCUGGGUUAAUACCUCGGGGUAAUGACGGUACCUGAAGAAUAAGCACCGGCUAACUACGUGCCAGCCGCCGCCGUAACAC